rnacentral:rRNA from 1 species
AUUGAACGCUGGCGGCAGGCCUAACACAUGCAAGUCGGGCGAGAGGCGGACGGGUGAGUAAUGUAUGGGCAUCUUCCUGAUGGAUGGGGAUAGCUACUGGAAGCGGUUGCUACUACCGCAUACCAUCAGCUGAACCCAGAUGGGAUUAGCUAGGGGGUGGGGUAAAGGCUGACCAAGGCCACGAUCCGUAGCUGGUCUGAGAGGAUGAGCAGCAAAACUGGAACUGAGACACGGUCCAGACUCCGACGGGAGGCAGCAGUGGGGAAUAUUGGACAAUGGGCGAAAGUCUGAUGCAGCCAUGCCGCGUGUAUGAAGAAGGUCUUCGGGUUGUAAAGUACUUUAAGUUGGGAGGCGUUACCAACAGAAGAAGCACCGGCUAACUCCGUGCCAGCAGCCGCGGUAAUUC